GUUACUUGUGUCUUGUUUCUCA
rnacentral:siRNA from 1 species